GGUGAUAAAAAGGUGCAUUGGAUUUCAUGGGAGAAGAUGUGUGCUGCUAAACGAGAUGGUGGUCUUGGUUUUCGUGAUCCGGAGGCUAUUAAUCAAGCCCUCCUAGCGAAACAAGCAUGGAGAAUAUUGCAGUUCCCACAAUCUCUGUGUGCACGUGUGCUCAAGGCAAGAUAUGUCUCAGAGAACUGUAUUAUAACGGCGACAUGUCCAUCGGGGGGCUCCUUCACCUUUCAGAGUAUUCUCCAUGGCCGAGACUUGUUGCCUGAAGGUCUGAUUUGGCGAGUGGGGAUGGCUCCAAGAUCAAUAUUCAGCACGCCAACUGGAUUCCUAGGAGUGGCAGCAUGCAGCCACUGGGCGUAG
rnacentral:rRNA from 1 species